UUUUCCGGUUCGACCAAUUUGGUCUGGGUUUCAAAAUCGCGGGUGAUACAACGUCCCCCAUCGCUCUCUCGAUUCACCGUCCUUGCCUCUGAGAACUCAUCAUUUCCUUCAAGAAGAAAAGGAAAAGGACACUAUCAGAGCGCAAUUUUCCUCCGAAAUACCACUGUACAAGUGCCUAGGAGGAGGGGGAACAAAAGGAAAGAGUGAUGCUUGGGAUUUCUUAUGGGGAGCUGUUUCUCAUAAUUGGUGCUACUGCUGCUCUAAUUGCUGUAGUUCAGCCCAAAGGAUUUGCCAAUAAUUGCAAGAACUGCGGGGAGGUUAGCUGGAAGGGCAAUUGGAUAUGUCCAAGUGUUCCGUGGCCAAUUCGAUAGUGUUAUGCAGCAAUCUCAGGCUCGUCAGGUGCAUAAAGAACUACAAGACACUAUUUCCCAACUUGAAGCCAUUUGUCAUGAGAUUCGAACUAUAUCUUUCAUGAAUCCUGGUCCAUUAACACGCAGCCUUGUGGAAAAUGCUGUGAAUACAUCUCCUACCAAUGGUAUAGAUGAAACUGGGCUGGGAAAAGUUGAUAAAGAGAGCAUUUCAGCAAUCCCCACUGCUAAGGGUUAUGCUUCACAAGCCUCAGCCUCAUCUGACAUGCACAGCCAAGCUAUAGCUUAUGCAAAGUUGGCUGAAUCUAAGUCAUUGAACCCUGCUUCUGUGAACAAUGAAGUUCUGAAUGAGUUAACGGAUGAAUCUGGUCUUACCAUCCUACCUGUUUCAGCUGAAAGUGCAGGAUUGUUACCAAAUCGAAAAGGUGCUUGUUGCCUGGAAUGAACUGGUAGAAGCUGAGGAGAUAGUUUAGCUACUGCAUAGUUAUUGCAAAUUUGCUUUUUUCUUUUUAGCAUGUCCUUUUAGAAUAUGCUGCUUCAUUUGAUCUUGGAAAUCAAGACUCUUUGUGACAAAGAUUAGGCAAGGAUUAAUAUAGUUAGGAGGAAGAGGUGGGCCCACCAGAGAUGGAAGCAUCUGCCUUGCUAGUUAGCACAGUUGGGAGGCAUUUGGCAAGGCGAUGUCACCAUUACAAGAAAUUGUUAUUUUCUUUGGUAGAGACUGGGAGCUAGAGCAACAAAAUCAGCUAGAAUAAACAAUAACGCACUCUCCAAUCUUGCAGGCUGUUGGAGUCUGCCUGAUACGGUGAUGGGAUCUGAUAUAGUUUUGGAAGCAGUCUUGGAGGCAGAGGUGGCUCGUAAUGCAAAAGACUUCUUUUCACAGCCUCAAAAUCUAGAAAAACUUGAAUGAGAAGAUUUGAACACGAUUUUGUUCGACAAUCCAGCCAGCAAAUUAGCUAAGAGGAUCAAGCUCGGUACUAGUUGCAACUAACCACAUCAACCUUAUGCUUUGUCAAAGCGAAGCUGCCUGCCGUAAAAUGGAAUUUAAGAACCUCUGUUGUGCUGUUCUACCUUCACUUCUUGCAAAUACAUGCAACAUCAUUUCAAAAGGGGAUGGAUGAUGAUUUAGCCCUGACCUAGACCUUGGUCUGUUUACUGUACUGGCACCUUACUAUUAGAUUGUGAAUAUUGGAGAUGCCUUAUGCUGUACUCUUACUUUUAACUGAUGAACGUCUCCAGCUAAAAGCUGUUUUUACCCCCC